rnacentral:rRNA from 1 species
GUAGGGAGCAAGCGUUGUUCGGAAUUAUUGGGCGUAAAGAGCGCGUAGGCGGCCAGGUAAGUCUGGUGUGAAAUCCCACAGCUCAACUGUGGAACUGCAUUGGAAACUGCUUGGCUAGAGUGCGGGAGAGGAGAGUGGAAUUCCCAGUGUAGAGGUGAAAUUCGUAGAUAUUGGGAGGAACACCAGUGGCGAAGGCGGCUCUCUGGACCGCAACUGACGCUGAGGCGCGAAAGCUAGGGGAGCGAACGGGAUUAGAUACCCCGGUAGUCCUAGCCGUAAACGAUGGGCACUAGGUGUAGGAGGUAUCGACCCCUUCUGUGCCGUAGCUAACGCAUUAAGUGCCCCGCCUGGGGAGUACGGUCGCAAAGACUA